AGGAGCCGUGCGAGAUGAAAGUCUCAUGCACGGUUUUGAAUGAGAGAAAGAAGUGAGGAAUCCUCUUUUCGGCUUUGACUCUCC
rnacentral:ncRNA from 1 species